UCCGGUUGAUCCUGCCGGACCCGACUGCUAUCAGAGUGGGACUAAGCCAUGCGAGUCAACAUAGCAAUAUGUGGCAUACGGCUCAGUAACACGUAGUCAACAUGCCCAGGGGACGUGGAUAACCUCGGGAAACUGAGGAUAAACCGCGAUAAGUCACUGCUUCUGGAAUGGGCAAUGACUUAAAUCUAUAUGGCCCCUGGAUUGGACUGCGGCCGAUCAGGCUUUGGUGAGGUAAUGGCCCACCAAACCUGUAACCGGUACGGGCUCUGAGAGGAGGAGCCCGGAGAUGGGCACUGAGACAAGGGCCCAGGCCCUAUGGGGCGCAGCAGGCGCGAAACCUCUGCAAUAGGCGAAAGCCUGACAGGGUUACUCUGAGUGAUUUCCGUUAAGGAGAUCUUUUGGCACCUCUAAAAAUGGUGCAGAAUAAGGGGUGGGCAAGUCUGGUGUCAGCCGCCGCGGUAAUACCAGCACCCCGAGUGGUCGGGACGUUUAUUGGGCCUAAAGCAUCCGUAGCCGGUUCUGCAAGUCUUCCGUUAAAUCCACCUGCUUAACAGAUGGGCUGCGGAAGAUACUAUAGAGCUAGGAGGCGGGAGAGGCAAGCGGUACUCGAUGGGUAGGGGUAAAAUCCGUUGAUCCAUUGAAGACCACCAGUGGCGAAGGCGGCUUGCCAGAACGCGCUCGACGGUGAGGGAUGAAAGCUGGGGGAGCAAACCGGAUCAGAUACCCGGGUAGUCCCAGCUGUAAACGAUGCAGACUCGGUGAUGAAUUGGCUUUAUGCCAAUUCAGUGCCGCAGGGAAGCCGUUAAGUUUGCCGCCUGGGGAGUACGGUCGCAAGACUGAAACUUAAAGGAAUUGGCGGGGGAGCACCACAAGGGGUGAAGCCUGCGGUUCAAUUGGAGCAACGCCGGAAAUCUUACCGGGGGCGACAGCAGAAUGAAGGUCAAGCUGAAGACUUUACCAGACAAGCUGAGAGGAGGUGCAUGGCCGUCGCCAGCUCGUGCCGUGAGGUGUCCUGUUAAGUCAGGUAACGAGCGAGACCCCUGCCUCUAGUUGCUACCAUUAUUCUCAGGAGUAGUGGAGCUAAUUAGAGGGACUGCCGUCGCUGAGACGGAGGAAGGAGGGGGCUACGGCAGGUCAGUAUGCCCCGAAACCCUCGGGCCACACGCGGGCUGCAAUGGUAAGGACAAUGAGUAUCGAUUCCGAAAGGAGGAGGCAAUCUCUAAACCUUACCACAGUUAUGAUUGAGGGCUGAAACUCGCCCUCAUGAAUAUGGAAUCCCUAGUAACCGCGUGUCACUAUCGCGCGGUGAAUACGUCCCUGCUCCUUGCACACACCGCCCGUCGCUUCAUCGAAGUUGGUUCUUGGCGAGGUGAUGCCUAAUUGGUACUAUCGAACCUGGGGUCAGCAACGAGGGAG
rnacentral:rRNA from 1 species